rnacentral:rRNA from 1 species
UGCAGUCGGACGGGACUUUUCGCUGUAGCAAUACAGUGGAAAGUUCAGUGGCGAACGGGUGCGUAACACGUGGGCAAUCUGCCUUAAAGUGUGGGAUAGCUCGGCGAAAGCCGGAUUAAUACCGCAUGUGGCUACUGGAGACAUCUUCGGGACGCUAAAGGUGGCGCAAGCUACCGCUUUUUGAGGAGCCCGCGGCCUAUCAGCUUGUUGGUGAGGUAACGGCUCACCAAGGCGUUGACGGGUAGCUGGUCUGAGAGGACGACCAGCCACACUGGGACUGAGACACGGCCCAGACACCUACGGGUGGCAGCAGUCGAGAAUUUUUGACAAUGGGGGAAACCCUGAUCGAGCGACGCCGCGUGGAGGAUGAAGGUCUUCGGGUUGUAAACUCCUGUCAUUUGGGAACAAGGCGUAUUUAUUAACUGUAAGUACGUUGAUAGUACCAGAAGAGGAAGAGACGGCUAACUCUGUGCCAGCAGCCGCGGUAAUACAGAGGUCUCAAGCGUUGUUCGGAUUCAUUGGGCGUAAAGGGUGUGUAGGUGGCGCGCUAAGUCGGGUGUGAAAUUUCGGAGCUUAACUCCGAAACUGCAUUCGAUACUGGCGUGCUUGAGGACUGGAGAGGAGACUGCAAUUUACGGUGUAGCAGUGAAAUGCGUAGAUAUCGUAAGGAAGACCAGUGGCGAAGGCGGGUCUCUGGACAGUUCCUGACACUGAGACACGAAGGCCAGGGGAGCAAACGGGAUUAGAUACCCCGGUAGUCCUGGCAGUAAACGGUGCACGUUUGGUGUGGGAGGAUUCGACCCCUUCUGCGCCGGAGCUAACGCGUUAAACGUGCCG